CAGCCGCCACGGUAACACGGAGGGUGCAAGCGUUACUCGGAAUCACUGGGCGUAAAGGACGCGUAGGCGGAUUAUCAAGUCUCUUGUGAAAUCUAACGGCUUAACCGUUAAACUGCUUGGGAAACUGAUAAUCUAGAGUAAGGGAGAGGCAGAUGGAAUUCUUGGUGUAGGGGUAAAAUCCGUAGAUAUCAAGAAGAAUACCUAUUGCGAAGGCGAUCUGCUGGAACUUAACUGACGCUAAUGCGUGAAAGCGUGGGGAGCAAACAGGAUUAGAUACCCCCGUAGUCCCUGUCUCUUAUAC
rnacentral:rRNA from 1 species